UCCACAGCUUUCUUGAACU
rnacentral:miRNA from 1 species